rnacentral:tRNA from 1 species
AAGGGGUUAGUUUAAUUAAAAUUACUAAUUUCGGCUUAGUAGACUCUGGCCCAUCAGAACCCCUAA